rnacentral:rRNA from 1 species
GUCCACGCCGUAAACGAUGGGUGCUAGGUGUGGGCGGUGUCGACUCCGUCCGUGCCGAAGCUAACGCAUUAAGCACCCCGCCUGGGGAGUACGGCCGCAAGGCUAAAACUCAAAGGAAUUGACGGGGGCCCGCACAAGCAGCGGAGCAUGUGGUUUAAUUCGACGCAACGCGAAGAACCUUACCAGGGCUUGACAUGCAUGGGAAUGUCGUGGAAACACGGCAGCCUUCGGGCUCGUGCACAGGUGGUGCAUGGCUGUCGU